AGAGAGAGUGGGAGAAUAGCUUGUGACACUGAUGACAACACACUCAUCACAGAAUCGAUGACUGAUAUUCCCAAAUUCCAAAGGCCAUACAAGAUGUCCAGGUUCAGUACUCGAUCCCUGUCAUCCUUCAAAGUUCAUAGCCCCAGAUGAUGACUGGUUUCAAAGCAGAGGAGAUACUUGGAGAGGGCAUGGAGAUGGAGAUCGGGAUACUUAGGGUCUAAGUAUCUUUGGAGAAACAUCAUUCGCAGAGGCGAGAAAAUAGCGACACGACGGGAGCUUUUCUUCUUCCUCAUGGGGUAGGAGGAGGAGAAGACGCUGUCGGCGUCUUGCAUAGAGUUCCCUCAUUCACACUUCUUGGCUCUCUAGUUCGUCGUCGUUCGUUCAGGUAGGGAGGGUUUUAUUCCUGCAAUUCCCUUGUGUUGUUCCUCGUGGAGACGGUCUUGCAAUUUUUUUGUGAGGACAGUUUUGGGCAAGCAAACCCGAUUUGUCCUUUAUUAUGACAAACUAACUAGCAACUAAAGCAAAGACACAAAUAAUACAAUACUGUUCAAGCAAAACUCAUUAUAUGUGAUGAAUAAAAAUAUAGCUCCAAGUAAAAUUACCGAUGGUUUUUAGAACAAAAAGAGAAUGCCUUCCGGGGCAUCCCCAAGCUUAGCUACUUGGUACUCCUUAGAUAUUUCCUUGAGGUGCCAUGGGCAUCCCCAAGCUUAGGCUUUUAUCGCUCCAUGUUCCAUCAUCCGUCGUGAUCUCACUCAAAACAUGAAAACUUCAAUCACACAAAACUCAACAAAAUUUCGUGAGAUCCUUAGUGUAAGAAAACCAAACUAUACUAUAAGUACUGUUGAAAACCUAUUCCAAUUUUGUUU
rnacentral:lncRNA from 1 species